AUCACCGUGGUGGAGUCGUCGCGGAGGAUCACGUCCGGAAACCGAUACUGAUCGAAGAUGCAAAUUCAUGUCAUAGCCUGGUGGGCGUUGCAUUACCUGCGUAUGGCCGUUCACGCAUCUGCUGCCAGUGCGAUCGGUAAUUGCGGCUGUUCUAGUUUGAUCUGCAACUGAAAAAACACUAAAUUAUGACUAUCAUCACCACAAAAACAAACGGCCACCUGUAUGUUCGAUAGUGCCAAAGAUUCCCUCCCCCCAUACUGAUCAGAGCCCUAUCUACCCGAGAGGGUAGGCUUCCUAUACCAGGUUCUUGGUUGUCUCGGUUGCUCCUUUCUUCAAGCUUGGCGAGGAGGAGGGGAUCAGAAAGUCUUUCCUCUCGCUUCGCUGGAGACCUAAAGCCCUCCUAUUCAUUGUUUUGAUUUGUUUUUAAUUACCUUCACCGCGUGCCACGGAAUGGAAGAGGGCUUGAUCUGCCGUCCCGAGGCACUAAGGGGCUGCAAUUUUUGAAACAGACGGCAAUGUUUUGAUGACUCCUUGAAUCAAGCUUUUGAAUGAGACCCACGAUGUCUUUCUUAUUCUGAGUCGAACACUUUUCUGUAGGUUGUAAAGUCUAACUCUAAUUACAGUCAAGUCGAAGUUUCAAAUACACAAUAUGUCAUUAGGAAACAGAGUAAGAUAAUAUCGGCUUUGGAGUGAAUAUUUGGUUACCUUUGUAGAGUUCUGAAUUUUUUAUGAAUGGUUCUCAUGUACCAGGAAACACACAAACAGUUGAAUCAAGUUCAAGAAAAAAAUGUUUCAUGGUUAUAGGGAUCAAUACAGCUUUAGUAGCAGAAAGCGAAGAGAUUCUUUUCGUGCAACUUGGAUGCCACAAGGUGAUCAAGUGACAUUUUAGCCCAUUUUCUAGUUAUUCCUUUCUUAUUCA